AUAAAAAUAUGGGAUUGGAACAAUUUUUCUACCUGCCCCUGCCUAAUCUGAAAUGAAUGUUAAAAAGUGAAUUUUAUUUGGACUGCGGGUUUGGAGUUCUAGUGCUAAGAGUUUCGUUCUAUUUCAGAGAUAAAACGGUGGCAGGUGCAGCCAAUGAGUGGGUCGACGAAAUUAAGUGUCAAAGCAUCUAUUGAGAGGUACAAAAAAGCCAGUUCAGAUUCUUCUAAUGGUGGAUCCACUUCUGAGAUUAAUGCUCAGGCAAAUCUUGGGUGAGGCUUUGAGCAAUAUGGCUGUCAAGGAUCUCAAAAACCUUUUGGGGCUUUAUGAGCUUAUUUCUGCUAAAGAAGCUGUGAUCAAUGGUGGUGCUGAUUAGAUUGUCCUAAUAAACAAUUGGCUUACUUCAAGUAGGGUUGGAUCUUUGAAUGAUGACCAUAUUUCAUUUCUUAACCGAAUUUAUGCUUUGUUUAUCUGAAAAUUAGAGCUGCUGUGAACUAUGAUAGCUGCUGCUUCUGUGGAGGGUUAAAUUCAGGAUGCUUGUGACAAUUCUUGUAGCAUCUGUCUUGAAGCCUUCUGUCUUGUAGCAUCUCAGUUGAAAGAAGCUUUGCAUGAGCA